rnacentral:rRNA from 1 species
UGCCAGCCGCCGCGGUAAUACGGAGGGUGCAAGCGUUAUUCGGAAUCACUGGGCUUAAAGAGCUCGUAGGCGGUUCAGCAAGUCGGCUGUGAAAGUUCGAGGCUCAACCUCGAAAUUGCAGUCGAUACUGCUGUGACUUGAAUUCGGUAGAGGAGAAUGGAAUUCCCGGUGUAGCGGUGAAAUGCGCAGAUAUCGGGAGGAAUACCUAAUGCGAAGGCAAUUUUCUGGUGCACUCCUGACACUGAGGUGCGAAAGCGCGGGGAGCGAACAGGAUUAGAUA